rnacentral:rRNA from 1 species
GGUCAAGUGACUAAGUGCAUGUGGUGGAUGCCUUGGCGAUCACAGGCGAUGAAGGACGUUGUAGCGUGCGAAAAGCCACGGGGAGCUCGCAAACAAGCUUUGAUCCGUGGAUGUCCGAAUGGGGAAACCCACCCGCAAGGGUAUCCCUGGCUGAAUACAUAGGCCAGGAGAGGCGAACCGAGCGAACUGAAACAUCUAAGUAGCUCGAGGAACAGAAAUCAACCGAGAUUCCCUGAGUAGUGGCGAGCGAAAGGGGAGCAGCCGGCAAGAGUUAGCGUUCUGGUUAGUGGAAUGGCCUGGAAAGGCCAGCCGUAGUGGGUGAUAGCCCCGUACGCGAAAACCAGGAUGUGGGACUAAGCUUGCGACAAGUAGGGCGGGGCACGUGAAACCCUGUCUGAACAUGGGGGACCAUCCUCCAAGGCUAAAUACUCGUGAUCGACCGAUAGUGAACUAGUACCGUGAGGGAAAGGCGAAAAGAACCCCGGGAGGGAGUGAAAUAGAUCCUGAAACCGCAUGCAUACAAACAGUGGGAGCCUCGCAAGGGGUGACUGCGUACCUUUUGUAUAAUGGGUCAGCGACUUACGUUCAGUAGCGAGCUUAACCGAAUAGGGGAGGCGUAGCGAAAGCGAGUCUGAUAAGGGCGACUUAGUUGCUGGGCGUAGACCCGAAACCAGAUGAUCUAUCCAUGGCCAGGAUGAAGGUGGGGUAACACCCACUGGAGGUCCGAACCCACUAGUGUUGAAAAACUAGGGGAUGAGCUGUGGAUAGGGGUGAAAGGCUAAACAAAUCUGGAGAUAGCUGGUUCUCCCCGAAAACUAUUUAGGUAGUGCCUCGUAUGGACACUUCCGGGGGUAGAGCACUGUAAUGGUUGGGGGGGUCGUUUAGAUCUACCCCGCCAUAGCAAACUCCGAAUACCGGAAAGUGAUGUACGGGAGACAGACGGUGGGUGCUAACGUUCAUCGUCAAGAGGGAAACAACCCAGACCGCCAGCUAAGGUCCCCAAUGAUUGGCUAAGUGGAAAACGAGGUGGGAAGGCAUAGACAGCUAGGAGGUUGGCUUAGAAGCAGCCAUCCUUUAAAGAAAGCGUAAUAGCUCACUAGUCGAGUCGUCCUGCGCGGAAGAUGUAACGGGGCUCAAGCCAAUAACCGAAGCUGCGGAUGCACAGCAAUGUGCGUGGUAGGGGAGCGUUCUGUAGGUCUGUGAAGGUGUCUCGUAAGGGAUGCUGGAGAUAUCAGAAGUGCGAAUGCUGACAUGAGUAGCGAUAAAGCGUGUGAAAAGCACGCUCGCCGAAAGCCCCAGGUUUCGUGCGCAACGUUCAUCGGCGCAGGGUGAGUCGGCCCCUAAGGCGAGGCCGAAAGGCGUAGUCGAUGGGAAACGGGUCAAAAUUCCCGUACCGAUCACGGAUGCGAUGGGGGGACGGAGAAGGUUAGCUCAGCCGGGUGUUGGACGUCCCGGUUUAAGCGUGUAGGCGUGCUGCAUAGGCAAAUCCGUGCGGCUUAGCCAAGGCGUGAUGACGAGGAGCCAUUGGCUCUGAAGUGAGUGAUACCCUGCUUCCAGGAAAAGCCUCUAAGCUUCAGUCCGUGAUUGACCGUACCGCAAACCGACACAGGUGGGCAGGAUGAAAAUUCUAAGGCGCUUGAGAGAACCCAGGAGAAGGAACUCGGCAAAUUGACACCGUAACUUCGGGAGAAGGUGUGCCCCGGUAGUGUGUAGUCCCUCGCGGGCGAAGCACGAUGGGGUCGCAGAGAAUAGGUGGCUGCGACUGUUUAACAAAAACACAGCACUCUGCAAAGUCGAAAGACGACGUAUAGGGUGUGACGCCUGCCCGGUGCCGGAAGGUUAAGUGAUGGGGUGCAAGCUCUUGAUCGAAGCCCCGGUAAACGGCGGCCGUAACUAUAACGGUCCUAAGGUAGCGAAAUUCCUUGUCGGGUAAGUUCCGACCUGCACGAAUGGCGUAACGAUGGCCACACUGUCUCCUCUUGGGACUCAGCGAAGUUGAAGUGUUUGUGAAGAUGCAAUCUCCCCGCGGCUAGACGGAAAGACCCCAUGAACCUUUACUGUAGCUUUGCAUUGGACUUUGACGGGACUUGUGUAGGAUAGGUGGGAGGCUGUGAGACCGGGUCGCUAGAUUCGGUGGAGCCGACCUUGAAAUACCACCCUGGUGUCGUUGAGGUUCUAACCUGGCCCCCUGAAUCGGGGGUGGGGACCGUGCAUGGCAGGCAGUUUGACUGGGGCGGUCUCCUCCUAAAGGGUAACGGAGGAGUACGAAGGUCUUCUAGGUACGGUCGGACAUCGUACUGAUAGUGCAAUGGCAAAAGAAGGCUUGACUGCGAGACCCACAAGUCGAGCAGGUGCGAAAGCAGGUCAUAGUGAUCCGGUGGUUCUGUAUGGAAGGGCCAUCGCUCAACGGAUAAAAGGUACUCUGGGGAUAACAGGCUGAUUCCGCCCAAGAGUUCAUAUCGACGGCGGAGUUUGGCACCUCGAUGUCGGCUCAUCACAUCCUGGGGCUGUAGCCGGUCCCAAGGGUAUGGCUGUUCGCCAUUUAAAGUGGUACGUGAGCUGGGUUCAAAACGUCGUGAGACAGUUUGGUCCCUAUCUGCCGUGGGCGCUGGAUAUUUGAGAGGGCCUGCUCCUAGUACGAGAGGACCGGAGUGGACGUAUCCCUGGUGGACCGGUUGUGACGCCAGUCGCAUCGCCGGGUAGCUAAAUACGGAAGAGAUAAACGCUGAAAGCAUCUAAGCGUGAAACUCGCCUCAAGAUGAGAUAUCCCGGGGACUCGAUCCCCCUGAAGGGUCGUUGUAGACCACAACGUUGAUAGGCUGGGUGUGGAAGCGCAGUAAUGCGUUGAGCUGACCAGUACUAAUUGCCCGUGCGGCUUGACCCU